CAGACCUCUAAUCGGAAAAGACUACCCGCUGAGUUUAAGCAUAUCACUAAGCGGAGGAGA
rnacentral:rRNA from 1 species